rnacentral:rRNA from 1 species
UACGAAGGGGGCUAGCGUUGCUCGGAAUCACUGGGCGUAAAGGGCGCGUAGGCGGCCAUUCAAGUCGGGGGUGAAAGCCUGUGGCUCAACCACAGAAUUGCCUUCGAUACUGUUUGGCUUGAGUUUGGUAGAGGUUGGUGGAACUGCGAGUGUAGAGGUGAAAUUCGUAGAUAUUCGCAAGAACACCAGUGGCGAAGGCGGCCAACUGGACCAACACUGACGCUGAGGCGGCGAAAAGCG